CGGUCCCAAGGGUUGGGCUGUUCGCCCAUUAAAGCGGUACGCGAGCUGGGUUCAGAACGUCGUGAGACAGUUCGGUCCCUAUCCGUCGUGGGCGCAGGAAAUUUGAGAGGAGCUGUCCUUAGUACGAGAGGACCGGGAUGGACGCACCGCUGGUGUACCAGUUGUCUUGCCAAAGGCAUCGCUGGGUAGCUAUGUGCGGAAGGGAUAAGUGCUGAAAGCAUCUAAGCAUGAAGCCCCCCUCGAGAUGAGAUUUCCCAUCACGUAUGUGAGUAAGAUCCCUAGAAGAUGACUAGGUAGAUAGGUCAGAGAUGGAAGCAUGGCGACAUGUGGAGUUGACUGAUACUAAUCGAUCGAGGACUUAACCACAA
rnacentral:rRNA from 1 species